GAUGAACGCUGACAGAAUGCUUAACACAUGCAAGUCUUUGGCGAAGCUGUGCUUGCACAGCCUAGCCAAGGCGGACGGGUGAGUAACGCGUAAGGAACUUGCCCUGCAGUCAGGGAUAACAGACGGAAACGACUGAUAAGACCUGGUAAAGUCAGGCGGACUCAUGUCCAGCCUGAUGAAAAGAGAUGCUGCAGGAGAGCCUUGCGUCCUAUUAGCUUGUUGGUGGGGUAACGGCCCACCAAGGCGAUGAUAGGUAGCCGGCCUGAGAGGGUGGACGGCCACAAGGGGACUGAGAUACGGCCCUUACUCCUACGGGAGGCAGCAGUGGGGAAUAUUGGAAAAUGGGGGCAACUCUGAUCCAGAAAUUCUGUGUGCACGAUGAAGGUUUUCGGAUUGUAAAGUGCUUUCAGCAGGGAAGAAAAAAAUGACGGUACCGGCAGAAGAAGCGACGGCUAAAUACGUG
rnacentral:rRNA from 1 species